rnacentral:rRNA from 1 species
UCGGGAAUUUUGGGCAAUGGGCGAAAGCCUGACCCAGCAACGCCGCGUGAGGGAUGAAGUAUUUCGGCAUGUAAACCUCGAAAGAAUGGGAAGAAUAAAUGACGGUACCAUUUAUAAGCUCCGGCUAACUACGUGCCAGCAGCCGCGGUAAUACGUAGGGAGCAAGCGUUGUUCGGAUUUACUGGGCGUAAAGGGCGCGUAGGCGGCGCGGUAAGUCACUUGUGAAAUCUCUGAGCUUAACUCAGAACGGCCAAGUGAUACUGCUGUGCUAGAGUGCGGAAGAGGCUACCGGAAUUCUUGGUGUAGCGGUGAAAUGCGUAGAUAUCAAGAGGAACACCUGAGGCGAAGGCGGGUUGCUGGGCCGACACUGACGCUGAUGCGCGAAAGCCAGGGGAGCAAACG